rnacentral:rRNA from 1 species
AUUGAACGCUGGCGGCAUGCCUUACACAUGCAAGUCGAACGGUAACAGGGAGCUUGCUCCGCUGACGAGUGGCGAACGGGUGAGUAAUGCAUCGGAACGUACCCAGUAGUGGGGGAUAACGCAGCGAAAGCUGUGCUAAUACCGCAUACGCACUGAGGUGGAAAGCAGGGGACCUUCGGUCCUUGUGCUAUUGGAGCGGCCGAUGUCAGAUUAGCUAGUUGGGGAGGUAAAAGCUCACCAAGGCGACGAUCUGUAGCUGGUCUGAGAGGAUGAUCAGCCACACUGGGACUGAGACACGGCCCAGACUCCUACGGGAGGCAGCAGUGGGGAAUUUUGGACAAUGGGGGCAACCCUGAUCCAGCCAUGCCGCGUGAGUGAAGAAGGCCUUCGGGUUGUAAAGCUCUUUCGGCCGGGAAGAAAUCGCCAUCUCUAACAUAGGUGGUGGAUGACGGUACCGGAAUAAGAAGCACCGGCUAACUACGUGCCAGCAGCCGCCGUAA